CAAUGUGUUGAGGUAAAGCUUCCAACUGCUCCCCUUUAGCAGCAGCCAAGCAGCCUUUGCUGUGGUUAGGAGGAACGGGGAGGGGGAGGCGAUGGGGCCGAGCCAGAGCAGGAGGUGGAAGGCACCAGCCCCAAAUAUUUUUUCCUCUCCCACCCACUCAUGCUACUACUGGCACGUUUAUUCCUGCAAGCACCGAUCCCUCGUGACUCAAGCAACACAAAACAGACCCGGCUCCUCUGCAACACCCACAUCAAGUACUCCCUCCUACAAGAAAGCCAGUCCAUGUGUUAGGCCUUUCCGACAACAAACCUCCUCUCUCAUGCCUCGAGUCCUCAAAUUCUCCAUUGACAUCUCUGCUGCCAGCGUGGCCGGUGGGGUCUUAUCAGCCGGGGCAAUGCAGCUGCAGGGGAGUCAAUCCUGACACCCCCAGGAGGACACAUCCUGCUAUCCAGCCGCUUGCAGCAGCAGAUAAGGGCUACGUUACACCCAGCUCAAGGCGGCUUGCAAAACUACGCCCGGGAGGCUCCCAGGAAUUAGGACACCGCGAUGAGGAGCUGCAGGGGAGCCAGUGUGAUCUGAAUGGAGCAUAAAGGGUGGAACCACUGAACGAACAAAUAAAACCAGGACACUGAAACCAGGCUAGUGCUCUUCUAGCAACGUCACCUCUGCAGACAGCAGCCUGGUUUCCCCAGCGGGACCCACGGGCACCCCGAGAUCACAGCCGAGACGGGGGUGACUCACGCGAGCGGGGCACGCCGGCACGCCUGACGUGCAGGAGGGCUGACACGGUGCAACGCCGAGAGCAGGAAGGAGAGAUGAAAACCUCUGGCCAUGGGGGACCAGGGCUAUCCUCCCUCAGGAAACCCUCUGAUUAGAAGCUGAAAUUUCAGGUUCAUUUACUCAUCUGAUUAUUUGCUGUGAGGUAACGACGACUUGGUCUUUACUGCAGGGAGGAGAUUUCCCCAAAAAGCCAAACAACUCUGCAGCCAUGAAAUAUAAAUCACCUGUUACCAGAUGUAAGGCCUGAAUCCAGCUGGGGACCCUCUGUCCUCAGGCUUUCCAGGUGCAAAAGAAACAGAAAGCCCCUGUCUCAACAGGUUUUCAAUUUAGGACAAAAAGAUAACAGAUGGAUGCAGACAGACAGGUGCCCCAGGAGAUACCAGGAGGCAGUAAGAAUCACUACACUAGUUGUAGAGUAUUAAAGGCACCUUGGGAGAGAAUCAUGUACUGCUAGUUUAAGGAUUUAACAACUGAGUAAUGGGAUCAUCAGCUAAGGAAGGUAGGACCUGACAUCCGAGGCAGGAGAGAGAGAUGAGGGAGGGUGGGGAUGCGCCUCAAAAGUGAGCCUGAGCAGCCUACGUUUGAUGUGAUAAAGAAAGCAGCACGGGAAGGAGUCACAGAGAAGAUUGGUGUGACCAAAGCAAUGGGCUUUAACCCCAGGCCAGCAGCAUUUUCAACCAGCUUUGUGUAUUUUCUUCCUCUGGUAUGGAUUCCUGUCAUCUGACGUUCCCAGGGAACUUAUGCAGUGUGGGAGACCCAACAGCCGAUCUGCUGGAGACUGAAAUUACCUGGUUGCCUCUUCAGUGGCCAACCGCUUCAUCUUUUGCAGUGUCACUGAGAGUGGAGAGCCAGGGGCAGCAGGGACCUGAGCAAACCUGCUUCUUUCCUCAACAAGGUAAAUCCAUCACAUUUCUGCAACAAACUGUGCUGUCAGGCCAAAAUCUUCCCAGGGAGCACAAGCCCCGUCACAGCCAGACUGACUCCUGCUGCGUUGGCAGGACUCAGCCUGCCCUUCUCCAUCCCUCCCUCACCUAGUCCUCCUCUCCCUCACCUAGUCCUCCUCUCCCUCACCUAGUCCUCCUCUCCCUCCUCAUCCUUGCCAGGAAGCCAGCCUGGCUCCUCGCCGUGCCUUACCUGCGCUCCCAGUGCUGGAGGAGAGCUGACUCCAUGCAGGAGCUGCUGUGGUGAGCCAAGCGCUCGCUUCCAUUUUCACGGUGGAAAAGGACACUCUCGAAGCAGCAUUAAACUCAGUGGCACGUUAAAUGACUUUAAGUUCAUCUUAUGCGUAGAGGCCUAAGAAGCCUCUUGUUUCCUCUGUAAAUAAUUAGGGGGAGUUUGCUGAGGUCUGACGAGGCUGCUCGUGGCUGCAGCUCGAGCUGCUCCUGCAUUUCCACCGCAGAGCACUCAGGGGCAUGGGGAGCAGAGAGCCCGAGGGCUCAGAGGCAUCAUUUGGCACUACAGCAUUUGCAAAGACAAAGCCAAUUUUCCUGUUGCAGCGGCACAUUUAGAAAGUGUUUGACUUAUGGGAGGAAGGGGAAGGAGGCCUGUCCUCUCUACCCUCCAUAGCCACCCAGUUGGGCUUUGAAGGGACAGGGCUGUGACUGGUUGCGAUGUACCAGGUACCUGUGGAUGGAGGGAGGCCGGCUAUGAUGAGCCUGGCAGCAGGGGACCGGCUGCAGCGCACGUGCCUGGACAGCCCACCAUGGUUCGCUGGCCAGAGGAACGAGCCCCGCCGCUCGCUAAGGGAGCGGGACGAACGCCCCACUCACCAGUUUGGGUUAUGCUGCUACCACCGACACAAACCCACGCCUCUGCCAAUGCCACCUCUCUGUGCCACUCUCACCUUAACUCUGCUCGUUUCCCAGACCCCCCCAGAAGCUGUGGGGAAGGGUCCAAAGCAACCCCCUCACAGCUCCCUCCUUGGCUCACCCGUCCCCGUGCUGAUCAGCCAUCGCAUUUACACAGAGCAUGUGUCAGUAACGAUCCAUCAGCUCAUCUCUGCUCAGCUCACCCAGAAACCCGCUCCGUGGCUCUGUGCAACCAAUGAUGGUGAAAAGUCAAAUCAAUGCUGCACAGAAACGACUGAAAGUGGCUUCCUGUUCAUCCAUUGGCCCCCAAAGCCCUCUCCCCCUCCCCUCUGUUUUUAGAAAGGGAAUAUUUUAAAGACUAAUUCUCUUACAAGGAGCCCUGAGUAGGAGAAAGGAACAGUUCGUACUCAACAGAGUUUCUCUGGCUUGGCUGCCAUUCACUCGUCAAUCAAACGGACACCCAUGAGCGCUCGUAAACAGCUCUGAGAUAUCUGGGAAUGCUGAAUGUCAAUGAAUUGAUGCUGGUCAGCUUGAUGGCCAAGUGUACUGGAAAAAGAGCAUCAGCACAUAUUUUGGCUUUUAGGUGUUCACUUCGUGUUUGUAGAUGCUUUGACAUUUAAAGCAGGCUUUCCACUGGCUAUGUGGAGCUUAUUUCCCCCUUGUCAAAUUAAAUUAAAAAAAAAAAAAAAGAAAAAAAAGCCCUUUUCACUUUAAAAAAAACAAAGUUUACCUUUUCCACUGUGCCAGAAAAUCAGAUAUAAAUGACUUGAGAUGCAGCCUGGCUGCCAGUUAAGGCUGUCAGCAGAUGUUACUUGCAGCAGAAUAUUGCCUUGGUUCACAGGUUAUCAUGUCACCUGUCUUAAACAUCCACUGCUUUACUGACACCACUGUAGUUUGGUGAGUGGCAGAGUAACGUAUGCAGGACCUUGUGUCAGUGCUGGUCUAAAAGCAGUGGUGGUUCAUCGGUGCUAGCUUUUCCCCUGCUGCUGUUCCUUAGGCAAUACCAGAAGAAGCUGUUGGCAGCGGAGCAGCUCGCUGCCUCUUCAAAAGCCCAUAUUUUAGGAGUCCCAAAAUGCAGGGGAUUGGUGAGGGAGGUUGGGGGUGUCAAUUCAAUCUGGGGAGCCCGUGAAGAACAGAGAUGUCAGAGAAGUCCAGGAGAAAUGAUCAUGUUAGAAGGGAUGUGGUACUGGCUGCAAAUUUGUGUUUGUGUGCAGCAAACUGGCCCCUCUGAAUCCAAAACCGUGAUGGCACGGGAGAGUUCUGUGAGAGAGUUCUUUUCUUCUUGUAAAAGGAAAUUUUUUUCUGGAUUACCUACGGAAUUAGUUAUUGUCCUGUUGGUGC